UUCAAAUAUCUAUCUGUUACCAAA
rnacentral:snRNA from 1 species